rnacentral:rRNA from 1 species
AGCUCCAAUAGCGUAUACUAAAGUUGUUGCAGUUAAAAAGCUCGUAGUUGGACAUGUGUGCGCUGGCGCUUAGCGGUCUGCACUCAAAAGAGUGUCGCGACAUGCGGCUCCGGCGCCGUAAAAUCUUCAACUGGAUCGCGUCUGGUCUUGAUUGAUCGGGCGCUGCCAUUCGGUUGAUCGUUUACUGUGAGAAAAUUAGAGUGUUCAAGGCAGGCAUGAUUGCAAUUGAAUAUGUUAGCAUGGAAUAAUAAGAUAAGGCUUCGGCUUUCUCUUUGUUGGUUUCUAAGGCCGAAGUAAUGAUUGAUAGGGACAGUUGGGGGUGCUAGUAUUCAGCGGCCAGAGGUGAAAUUCAUGGAUUCGCUGAAGACUAACUUAUGCGAAAGCAUUCACCAAGGAUGUCCUCU